rnacentral:lncRNA from 1 species
CAGGGUGAAAUUAUUAAAAUAAUGAACCUGGAAAAGAAUGACUUAGAAAUGAAAAGAAAAUUCCUAAAUAUGACCAAGUAUGGAAACUGUAAGAGAGACAGAGUGGACCUUAUUCUGAUCCAGGAGCUCUGCAAAGAAGAAUCUCAGUGGACUUCCUACGGUGAUGAUGAAUUAACAGUGAAGAUGAGGAUGACUGAAGCCAUAUUUGAUAGCUUGAUCCUUGACACAAUCAGAGUUCUUAAUAAGAUUUAUCUGAAAAAAGCCUGCUUGAAAGGUGACUGUGAACCAUCUUGUUUCUUUUAAUAUGCUGUGGAACUGCUUAAAAGGAGCCUGGAGAUGGUUUCAGAGAGGUGGCACAGGGAAUGGCAGGACCUGGAGCCAGACAUUCAGGUUAAAUGUCUAUAAUUUUAUGCAAAUGAGGCAAAUACCAAUGUGAUGCACUUUAAAUUGGAGAUUUUUUCUAUCAGCACCUUUAAUUCCUAACAAUUAGAUGUGUGCCUGUAAUUGGGUUAUUUAUCAUGCAAUUCACAGAAGCCCAUUGAAUUUUUACAAUAUCCAAAUGUGUGGUGCUGUAAGAGUGCUUUGAUAGACAAAAGAGAGGAAAUCAAUACCGCUUUUGUAUUGGCAAAACUGGAAAAAUCAAGAUUUUGACAAGGAAAUAGAAGCAUUUCCUCAGCAUGGUAAUUGUUCACUGUGCUAAUUGCUGUACUCCCACCUAUUUUGUAUUGAGAAAAUCAAAUAUUUUAGGGUUUUUUUUAAUAAAUACUGUGCAAAUAUUUCUUACUGGAAUUCAGAAGCUGUUCAUUAUUGAAUAAUUGAUUGUAAAGAGAUCAGAUUUUUUCCAAUCCUAUUCAGAGUGUCUUUCAAAUAAUAUUAAAAUCAGACUCAAUAAAGAUAAAUUAUAUAUAAAACUUAAGAUUUAAAAAUACAGUACUUAAAAUCUGCUUGGGGAAUAGAAAGACAUUUUAUGUUUGUAUUUUUUUUCCUUGUUUUUUGUACUUGUUUUCUGAAUAAAAAUUAUACACAUGGUUUAUUUUGUUUAUUUCUUUUCACUGAAAUCAAUUAGAAUUACAAUUGUCUUGCACACACUGCUCUUCUCAGCAGUGAAUUGGGCGCAUUUUUGUUUUGUUUUGCUGGGCACAUUAAACCCUCCCCUGCUUGUUGCCAUAUGAACAGAAAUAAAAAGGCAA